ACGCUCGACACCUACGGGAGGAGCAGUGGGGAAUAUUGCACAAUGGGGGAAACCCUGAUGCAGCGACGCCGCGUGGAGGAAGAAGGUCUUCGGAUUGUAAACUCCUGUUGUUGGGGAAAAAGAGGAUGGUACCCAACAAGGAAGUGACGGCUAACUACGUGCCAACAGCCGCCGGUAAGUACUGAGCGGGCGUGGCGAAGGACG
rnacentral:rRNA from 1 species